UACGUAGGGGGCUAGCGUUGUCCGGAAUCAUUGGGCGUAAAGCGCGUGUAGGCGGCCCGGUAAGUCCGCUGUGAAAGUCCAGGGCUCAACCCUGGGAUGCCGGUGGAUACUGUCGGGCUCGAGUCCGGAAGAGGCGAGUGGAAUUCCUGGUGUAGCGGUGAAAUGCGCAGAUAUCAGGAGGAACACCAAUGGCGAAGGCAGCUCGCUGGGACGUGACUGACGCUGAGGUGCGAAAGCGUGGGGAGCAAACAGG
rnacentral:rRNA from 1 species